CGGGUGAGUAACACGUGGGCAAUCUGCCCUUCACUCUGGGACAAGCCCUGGAAACGGGGUCUAAUACCGGAUAACACCUGCCCGGGCAUCUGGGUGGGUUAAAAGCUCCGGCGGUGAAGGAUGAGCCCGCGGCCUAUCAGCUUGUUGGUGAGGUAGUGGCUCACCAAGGCGACGACGGGUAGCCGGCCUGAGAGGGCGACCGGCCACACUGGGACUGAGACACGGCCCAGACUCCUACGGGAGGCAGCAGUGGGGAAUAUUGCACAAUGGGCGAAAGCCUGAUGCAGCGACGCCGCGUGAGGGAUGACGGCCUUCGGGUUGUAAACCUCUUUCAGCAGGGAAGAAGCGAAAGUGACGGUACCUGCAGAAGAAGCGCCGGCUAACUACGUGCCAGCAGCCGCGGUAAUACGUAGGGCGCAAGCGUUGUCCGGAAUUAUUGGGCGUAAAGAGCUCGUAGGCGGCUUGUCACGUCGGGUGUGAAAGCCCGGGGCUUAACCCCGGGUCUGCAUUCGAUACGGGCUAGCUAGAGUGUGGUAGGGGAGAUCGGAAUUCCU
rnacentral:rRNA from 1 species